rnacentral:rRNA from 1 species
GAUGAACGCUGGCGGCGUGCCUAAUACAUGCAAGUCGAGCGAACAGACGAGGAGCUUGCUCCUCUGACGUUAGCGGCGGACGGGUGAGUAACACGUGGAUAACCUACCUAUAAGACUGGGAUAACUUCGGGAAACCGGAGCUAAUACCGGAUAAUAUAUUGAACCGCAUGGUUCAAUAGUGAAAGACGGUUUUGCUGUCACUUAUAGAUGGAUCCGCGCCGCAUUAGCUAGUUGGUAAGGUAACGGCUUACCAAGGCGACGAUGCGUAGCCGACCUGAGAGGGGGAUCGGCGCCACAGGAACUGAGACACGGCACAGGCACCGAGGGGAGGCAGCAGGAGGGAAGGUUGGGAGAAGGGCGAAAGCCUGAAGAAGCAACGCAGCGGGGGUGAAGAAGGGCUUCGGAUCGUAAAACUCUGUUAUGAGGGAAGAACAAAUGUGUAAGUAACGAUGCACGUCUGGACGGUACCUAAACAGAAAGCCACGGCUAAUUACGU